rnacentral:rRNA from 1 species
GACGAACGCUGGCGGCGUGCUUAACACAUGCAAGUCGAACGGAAAGGCCCUGCUUUUGUGGGGUGCUCGAGUGGCGAACGGGUGAGUAACACGUGAGUAACCUGCCCUUGACUUUGGGAUAACUUCAGGAAACUGGGGCUAAUACCGGAUAGGAGCUCCUGCUGCAUGGUGGGGGUUGGAAAGUUUCGGCGGUUGGGGAUGGACUCGCGGCUUAUCAGCUUGUUGGUGGGGUAGUGGCUUACCAAGGCUUUGACGGGUAGCCGGCCUGAGAGGGUGACCGGCCACAUUGGGACUGAGAUACGGCCCAUACUCCUACGGGAGGCAGCAGUGGGGAAUAUUGCACAAUGGGAGGAAGCCUGAUGCAGCAACGCCGCGUGCGGGAUGACGGCCUUCGGGUUGUAAACCGCUUUCGCCUGUGACGAAGCGUGAGUGACGGUAAUGGGUAAAGAAGCACCGGCUAACUACGUG